rnacentral:rRNA from 1 species
CACGUAGGGGGCAAGCGUUGUCCGGAUUUAUUGGGCGUAAAGCGCUCGCAGGUGGUCCGUCGCGUCGUGCGUGAAAGACCCCGGCUCAACUGGGGAGGGUCGUGCGAUACGGGCGGACUGGAGGCCAGUAGGGGGAUGCGGAAUUCCGGGUGUAGUGGUGGAAUGCGUAGAGAUCCGGAGGAACACCAGCGGCGAAGGCGGCAUCCUGGACUGGUCCUGACACUCAUGAGCGAAAGCGUGGGGAGCGAUCCGG